UACGGAGGAUGCAAGCGUUAUCCGGAAUGAUUGGGCGUAAAGCGUCCGCAGGUGGCUAUGUAAGUCUGCUGUUAAAGAGUGAGGCUCAACCUCAUAAGAGCAGUGGAAACUACAUGGCUAGAGUGCGUUCGGGGCAGAGGGAAUUCCUGGUGUAGCGGUGAAAUGCGUAGAGAUCAGGAGGAACACCGGUGGCGAAGGCGGCAUCCUGGACCAAUACUGACGCUGAGGAGCGAAAGCCAGGGGAGCAAACGGG
rnacentral:rRNA from 1 species